AAAGACUUCUUGGACUAUUAAACUUCACAACAAAAUUCGAAAACUCUCUGGAACUCUCUGGAUAUCGCAACAAUGUAAAUUUCUCUAAAAUGAAGAGGCAUAAUUGGCGUAUAAGUGAACAGUUGACAAAUCAGAGAUGUGAUAUGUCUCUGUCUAAGUGGCGCAUCCUUUACAUCGUUUGCUUUAAUCAUAGUCUGAGCAUUUUAUCUACGCAAUUAGUAA